GCGGGCGUGGCGAAACGGUAUACGCGGUAGCUUUGGGAGCUACUGGCCGCUGACAAUCGGACGUUCCUUAGCCGGGUGCCCGAUCUAGGCCAUGCAGGUUCGAUUCCUGUCGCCCGCA
rnacentral:tRNA from 1 species